rnacentral:rRNA from 1 species
CAUUCUGAUUCGCGAUUACUAGCGAUUCCAGCUUCAUGCAGUCGAGUUGCAGACUGCAGUCCGAACUGAGACGUUAUUUUUGGGAUUUGCUUAACUUCACAGUCUCGCUUCCCUUUGUUUACGCCAUUGUAGCACGUGUGUAGCCCUGCCCAUAAGGGGCAUGAUGAUUUGACGUCAUCCCCACCUUCCUCCAGUUAUCCCUGGCAGUCUCUCUAGAGUGCCCACCUUUAAUGCUGGCUACUAAAGAUAAGGGUUGCGCUCGUUGCGGGACUUAACCCAACAUCUNACGACACGAGCUGACGACAACCAUGCACCACCUGUCUCGGRUGCUCMAAAAGAGAGGGCGGCWUUACCYACCGGUCAUCCGGAUGUCAAGGCCAGGUAAGGUUCUUCGCGU